AUACGGAGGAUCCGAGCGUUAUCCGGAUUUAUUGGGUUUAAAGGGUGCGCAGGCGGCCAUUUAAGUCAGCGGUUAAAUCGUGGGGCUCAACCCCAUUCUGCCGUUGAUACUGGGUGGCUUGAUUGCGGUCGAGGUUGGCGGAAUUCGUUGUGUAGCGGUGAAAUGCAUAGAUAUGACGAAGAACACCGAUUGCGUAGGCAGCUGACCAGACCGCAAAUGACGCUCAUGCACGAAAGUGCGGGGAUCGAACAGGAUUAGAUACCCUGGUAGUCCGCACAGUAAACGAUGAAUACUUGUUUUCGGCGAUAUAAUGUCGGAGGCAAAGCGAAAGCGAUAAGUAUUCCCCCUGGGGAGUACGCCGGCAACGGUGAAACUCAAAUGAAUUGACGGGG
rnacentral:rRNA from 1 species